UAGGGAAUCUUCGGCAAUGGGGGGAACCCUGACCGAGCAACGCCGCGUGAGUGAAGAAGGUUUUCGGAUCGUAAAGCUCUGUUGUUAAGGAAGAACGAGUGUGAGAAUGGAAAGUUCAUACUGUGACGGUACUUAACCAGAAAGGGACGGCUAACUACGUGCCAGCAGCCGCGGUAAUACGUAGGUCCCGAGCGUUGUCCGGAUUUAUUGGGCGUAAAGCGAGCGCAGGCGGUUAGAUAAGUCUGAAGUUAAAGGCAGUGGCUCAACCAUUGUAGGCUUUGGAAACUGGUUAACUUGAGUGCAGAAGGGGAGAGUGGAAUUCCAUGUGUAGCGGUGAAAUGCGUAGAUAUAUGGAGGAACACCGGUGGCGAAAGCGGCUCUCUGGUCUGUAACUGACGCGGAGGCUCGAAAGCGUGGAGAGCGAACAGG
rnacentral:rRNA from 1 species